GGAUAUGGCUUAGUUGGUAGAGUGCUUGGCUCACAUGCACACAAGGCCCUGGGUUCAAUCCCAGUACCA
rnacentral:tRNA from 1 species